UCAACUAUCGAAAAUUUCAAAUGAUCAUUCCCAGAUCCAAAGAUCGUCCGAUGCUAAUAAGUCAGUCAAAACGCGGUAUAUUAUUUCGUUCGUCGUUUCAAUCUAUUAAUUUUGAUAGAAAUUGCACUAAAAUUACAAAUAUAUAGUCAGCCAUUUUUUCCGAAAAAAAAAACAAAGUGUUCCGUAAAAGAACGAUUAUACAUUAUACUUAUUAAUGGAAUUCAGUUUCAAAACAAUUACAAUGAAGAACAAUUAAUUCAAUACUCAAAAUGGAAUAAAUCGUCGAAUAUCAGCUAGGAUUGGAAUCGACUCAGCUUUCCUCGCUCAACAAAAUUUAAAACUGUGGGGUACAAUGUUGACUUAUACACUUCGGUUUCUAACAGGACAACUUCUAUUAAUGAUUGGCCUUAGUGGUUUCCAAAUGUCUCCGACUGAAACAAUAUGAGAAUUGUCAGAUUCUGAUCGUUCAAUCACACAGUUCUUUGGUUCGCGUGAUAUCUCCAUAUCACCAAGACUCCGCCUUAUAUCCCACCUGUCGAGAGCUGAUGUCUUGGAAAAUUCUUUUUUUUGUUAAAGACCCGAUCAAAGAAAUUGUUGGUUCUGGAUUUUUUCAGAUUGGUGGUUGCUCCACUGCUUAUUAACCUUCCUUUGGAGAUUCUCCAGAGGGUCUUUUCUUUUUCCUUUGAUUUUGACGGUUUAUUAUUGAGUUUGGCAUACACAGUUGCUAUAACUGUUCUUGGAUCUCGAAAGCUUUGUUUUCUACUCAGUAUUUCUUCACGCAAGGUAAAUGUGAAUCCUUCAUUUCACUUGGGUAAAGAUUCAGUUUUAUACAUUGCUGCAAAAUCUUCCCACUGAGACCACAGAAUUAUCUGUAAAUUCAACAAUUUAUAUGUACUCAUUCUAUUGCUGUUGAAAACAAUACAUUCCGCAAUACCAUUUAUAAACUUUUUAUUAGGUUUUCUGAAUAAAUUAUAAGCAGUGCAGGCGAAUUGUGGUGACAUGAGCUCUGUAAGAAGUUUUUCAUAUUAUGCUUAGGAAUAUGUAACAUUCGAAGAUCAGGUUCUUCUAUUUUAGUGGUAUUCGAUGAAAUGUUAUUCGCUAUCUAGCUUUAACCAAAUUGAUUCUUGAUCAACAUGUUGAAUUACGUUCAAAAUGCUUACCCUGACGGCGUAGCCAUUGACUUUUGUAGAUCCAAUGGUUUCUGGCAAAUAUCGAGCACCAAGAAUCAUUACACAUUGGCAGAACAAUAAACCAUCCUCAUCCCGAUAGUUCCGGUUUGAAAUUCUGUAUCGAAUCAUCGCCAGAGAUAGGAAUAUUUCCAUGGUUAUUGUUGAAAAAUUUUCCAUCUUGGCAAUGACCAUUUUUAUUGAUGUAACAAAUGCACGAAAUCGAAACAACAACAGAAAGCUACCUCCAGGUGUUUAUCAACAUUUCUUCUUCGCUUGAUAAAACUCAUCAUACUGCUUCAAUGUUCUCUAGCUGGAGUAUGACUUAUUUAUAUCUAAAAUUAUCUAUAAAUUGUCAGUUCAUAUUACUAUGAAACAAUGAGAACAAAACUUUACCUAAACGAGAAUACAAACUGACAUAUAAACAAAGUAUGAAUCACAGAAUACGAUAUUCCCAAAUUAUCGGUCAUUGUAACUCCGAUUUUUACUUCAUUGCGUUAAAAUAAAGCCUGACAAUGUUUGAAUAAAUGUACUUUCAAUUA